rnacentral:lncRNA from 1 species
GGGAAAAAAGUGGGGUGAGGGGACAACCUAAACGUCCGCCAGGACAGGACCAGUGAAUUUAUAGGUCACCUUACGGUGUAACACUCUAUCGACCUUUCUUCACCAAGGCCCUAAAUCCAUGACAUAGCUUGUGGCCUUUGGGCUUAAAGUGAGAAAGGCAAGAUGGACAGCAGAGUGCAUAGUUUAUCUCUUUUGUGUAAACAAAAAUGAUACCUAUCUGGUUGCUUAUCUGUGCAGAAUGUUAGGUGAGCCAAGGCUGGCCAUGGGGCCCAGUCUGGAGCUUUGAGAUGAGUAACAGGAAUAUGCCUCAAUUCCUGGGGUCCAGCUCAUGCAGAUAAAGGCCAGAGGCAGGUCCUCUUUUGGUGCAAGCCAGGCAAGACUGGUCUUUCUUGCCUCGGGCCCUUUCCCUUCUCAUAGAUGGAGCCCCGCUAAUUUGUCAGGUUGAGGAUGGAUUUAGCGUUUGUUCCACGGGAAUGAAGUCAGUAGGAAAGCAAACCUGUGGGAAUUGCCAAUUGGUGCCGACUCCUCCUCCACAUGGCUGCUGUCCCACCAGCCCUCAUCUGGGACUGUUUCAGGCCUUUGCUGUGCGUUUACAAAUAAAACCAGGCUGCUCUGGGCACGCUUCCGAGGUGAUGCCUGGAGCCUCGCACACUUGGGCCAAAGAUUGAUACGGUGUGUGCACGCCUGGGCCGAUACACCUCUUUUGAUCUGUUUCCGAAGGCAACCUUUGGUCUCCUGCUUCACGUGAUUGAUUAAGUUAGGAUCUCUUUUAGGAAUUCUCCGCACUCAUGCCUCCUCACCAGCUCACAGCGAGCCCUGCCAAAUUUUACUCUCCUUUUAUGCUGCAGACUGUUCUGUUCCAACUGACUAAAUGGAAACUGUGUUCUUAAUAUGCAACCCGUUACCUAGUCCUUUACAUGCAAUCAGUUACCUUGGAAUUCCUGUUUUGCAUUUAGUAUGGUGGGGCACCCUCUUAUCACAUCAUCAGUCAUGUUUCUAGCAAGGUUUUGGCCUAUGAGUAGGGAGUAGCUUUGCUUCAGAGCCUUCCUUCCCCUGUGCAUCCCUGCCCUUCCCCCGACCCCCCGCCUCCUGCCCAUUUUGGUGUGAGAGUCACUGGGGAAUCAGGGUGAUAGCAUUUGUAUUAAAACAAGCCAGCGCACAUGGCUGUAGACCCUUAAGGAUCGUGGAAUGUAAGCAGACUCAUGCUAUGUUCUUUAGGCGCCGGCUGGAGAAGGGACCCUGGUUCGACGGGUCCUGGUGGAAUGGCGAUCCAAGGUGUUUCGAAGAGUUUUCCGGUCAUACAGACCUGAUUUAAACUCCUGCUCAAGCACAAUGUUUGCUGCUUUUUUUAAAAAAAAAAAAAAAGAGGGGGGGAUCCUAUCUUCCAUCUUGCACACGUGGGGAGGGAGACAGAAGCCCACAAGUGAAAGUAGAAGCACGUUCCCAGAUCCAUUUCUAAGACCUCCUUCUAUCACCUGGAACUUACAUUCUCUUUUCAAAGUGGCCCAUCCUGUAACCUACGUGAGACUGGCCCUCAGUGAAAUGUCCUAUCUGGAGCUCUUCCCUCCUUUGCUGUGGUGCUCACAACUCCUGGUACCCCACUCACUGUAUACCCAAGCCUUUCCUUCGGUCUCGCUGGACCUCUGGCGACGUCUUGUUCAGAUGUUCCAGUCUGGUCUUAGCUCUGCUCUGAGAGAUGCAAGCUGGAUAAAAGCAGUAAUGGUGCAGACCCCUCAAGAAGGGAGGGAGGUCCAGCCAUACCUCCUCGUGACGUCCUUUUCCAAACUCGUGCCAUCUGGGUUUCAUUUUAUUAGGGGAGCUAGAGGUGUGCAGGGAGGGCUGGUUAGGAAAUGAGGCUACGUCUGGCAGGGUGUUGGUGACUAUGGUAGGGAUUUUGGAUCUUAUUUUAGGCACAAGGAAAAGCCAGGAAAGGGUUUGGGGUAGUGAACUGACAUGGUUUGAUUUAUGAUUUUUUUAAUUUAUUUAUUAUUAUUAUUGUGCUUUUUAGGGCUGCACCUGUAGCAUAUGGAGACUCCCAGGCUAGGGGUCCAGUCGGAGCCACAGCCAUAGCAACACAGGGUCCUAUACCACAGCUCACUGCAAUGCCAGAUCCUUAACCCACUGAGCAAGGCCAGGGAUCGAACCCGCACCUCAUGAAUACUAGCUGGCUUCAUCUCCGCUGAGCCACAAUAGAAAUUCCAUGAUUUAUGAUUUUAAAACAUCCCUAGGACUGCUGUGUGGAGAAGAGAGAAUAGGGGACAAGACGGCUACAAGAAGAGCAGCUGAAUGGCUGCAGCACUCAGGCAAGAGAUGUUGACUGGCUUUGUGUGCUGUUCAAGCGGUGAGAAGUCAUCAGACUCAGGAUGUGCUUUGAAGAUAAAGCCCACAGGCCUCGUGAAGGACAGCAUGUCAGGUGUGAGGGAGAAUGAGCACUCAGGGCCUGAGCAGCUGGGUGAAUGGCCAUGCUGUUUACUAAGAAGGGGAGAGGCGGGGGCAGAGCUGGUUUGGGACAAGAAUCAAGAGGUAGGUUUUAAGCAUGGAAACUUUGGGAUAUUUAUCAGACAUCCAAGUAUCCAGAGCUCAGGAAGAGGCUGAGUCUAGACAUACAAAUAUGAGCAUCCUUAGCACAUUGAUAAUAUCGGGGCCAUGGGUGGAGUUACUCAGAGAUUGCAUGUAGGUAGAGAAGAGAGGAGGUCCAAGGACUGAACAUGGGUCACUCCUACACUUAUAAAUUUGGACGAGGAGAAAGAGCUACCCCCAAGCUCACUGCCCUGCUCUAGCAGUUUUGUGGAAGUCUCUGCCUGGUUUCCUGGGGCCUCCCAGUCCAGAACUAAGCCCUAUAUAUUAGUGACAGGCUCCUGACCCAAAAUGACCUUGAGUAUCUCGUGGAUUUAGUUCUGGCCCAGGUCCUGGUGGCUUCUUCCUUUAAGCUGGAACCAGAGGUCCCAAGCGGCCGUUUGGCCUCCUUUGCAACCCGGGAGCCUGCCUCUAGACUGAGACCAGCAAACAAAUGGCUUCACCCACUUAUGCUACUGUCUUUCCAUUUUGUGUCUGAACCACAGAGUUGAUUAUUUUGCCUUAGAAAGAAGAUAUGAAUAUGUUGUGACUUCUUAACUUUAUCUGUCAUGCUAUGUGCUUGGGGACUGUGGAGCCAGACGUCUGCCAGGCAAGGGGCAUUGCCAUUUUGCCUGGGGCACCAACAUUUUGAUUUUUAAGAGCUUGUCUAUGGUUCAGCCCCUAAGUCACUCACUUAUAUAAUGUUUAUUGACAGAUAACUGUGAACAAUUAUGAAAUACAGAGUAAGAUAUGGUUCUUGCUCUGCAGGAGCUUAAAAUCAAGCCAGGCAGUUGAAAGCCACAAACGUCACCUGAGGAAUGACAUCCGAGUGUGCAUUCCUCUGUGGAUCUGCGCAGGCACAGUGCCGAGCACAUAGAAGAUUCUCAACACCUGUGAAAGGAACAAGCCCACCGGGGUGAUCAUUGCCCAGAGGCACAGAUUGUCAGUCACAGAUGCCACCAGAGCCAGGGAGGAGGAGAAGGCAAGGGCCGCGCGCGGUCGGAGAAAGUGGAGGGAGAUGACAUUGGAAGCCACGAGAAGGAGAUGGAUGUUUUAGAGGGACCCCGGGCCUGCUGAUGCGCAAGGCAGUCUGUGCCUGCCCGGGCAUGGAGGCACUGCCCUGGAGUGAUCUUGGCCGUCCCAGCAGGGACACUGCCAGUGUACCAGCCCGUGCAUUAUCCCGCAAGACAGGAGGAAGUCAAGCUCCAUCCUUCAGACCUGGGCCCCUGAGCCUAGGUGGCUGCCGAUGCUGCCGAGGGGCAAACACAGAUGUUCACAGAGCCCAGUGGAGGACCUGGACGUUGGGAGGAGACGGCACUUCAGUCACUCAUGCGAACCCAUCUGAGUGCUGCAGGGGUCUUGGCUCCAAUUCGUUUUAUUUCCUCCCUCACAAGAACAAGAUCCCAAUUUAAAACAAAUGCUCAGUUUACCAAACAGAAAAGGAAAACAGUAGAUGAUAAGACAAAACAAAAAAGAGCAUGUUCUCAGCCAUCUUUGUUCUAUUAUCGCCAUAUUUUGUCUUCCAAAAGAAGCAUCUUUACAUGCAAAUCCAUUUUUGUAUAUUUUGACUGAUUGCUGGCAAGAUAGAGAGACAUAAAUAUUUCUGGAAAU